rnacentral:lncRNA from 10 species
CAGAGAGUGGACAUUUUAAGAAGAGUUCAGCCUAAUCUAAGGAAGCACUUUCUAAAGAGGGACUGGACUGAAAUGGAAGUACACGGCCACCAUGUCAAAUGCACUUUCCACGAAGUGUCCAGUAUUUCCACAAACACAGUGAGCAUCUAUUAUGUUCUUGCCUCAGAAUAACAAGACACAGGACUUAUUGUCUAGGCAGAAAGCUCUGGAACACAACAUAAACACAGAGAAUAAAUAAAGGCAGGGGAAGAGAAGUCCUUCUACCUAACCACAAAUUCAAGCAUUCAAGAAAAGACCUGCACAAUGAACAGUUUUGUGAAUUAUGAAUGAACCUUACCAUAUAACUUCUUGCUUCUUCAGUCUACCACAACAGAUUUUUUUUUCCACCUCUGGGCAACUGGGUUCAUGAUUAAUCCUUUGCAUCUCUUGGCCUUUUUGGAUAGAAGAGAGUAUUUUAAUCCGGUAGUCUACUGACAUUUCUUUUUCCUGUAGUUAGAAAAACUAAUUUAUAUUGUCUUAAAGUAAUACUGAUGUUGCAAGUUAGAAAAAUGC